GAGCCUAAGGAACAGCCGGGUCGAAGUUUGGAGGAGAAAUUCGAAGACAUAAUACAUGGACUCUUUUCGAACGGAGAGACUAAUGCGGACGCAGAUGUUGGACUCGAAUCAGGAACUGAUCGACCUAAUGACAGUGGAGAAGCUUUUGCACCAGGGAAUUCCUCUUACUGUGACACAGAAUGCCGGGUCCAUCGCCUCCGAGGGCUGGACAUAGCAGUGAAUAAAGAAUUUUCUGGAGUGUGGGUUCAGGCAAAUUCCAGUAAAUACAGGUCUUAUCCGCCCGACAAACACAAGCUUCAGGACCUAAAGCACGG